CAGCCUGUGAUACUCAAACUGGGGGCUCUUUUGGAUUUUCAUCGGAAGAAAAGUGCCGCCAGGUUUUGAGUGUCACCGGUUG
ensembl:miRNA Mir292 microRNA 292